rnacentral:misc_RNA from 1 species
AAGUCGUAACAAGGUUUCCGUAGGUGAACCUGCGGAAGGAUCAUUACCGAGUUAGGGUACUCUUCGUGCCCGACCUCCAACCCUUUGUCUACCUGACCAGAUGUUGCUUCGGCAGGCCCGCCGCCCCGCGAGGAGCAGCCGCCGGGGGUCCUUACCGGCCCCGGGUCCGUGCCUGUCGAUGGCCCUUCUAAAACUCUUGCUUAAACGUGUCGUCUGAGUAAAACAAACAAAAUAGAAACAAAACUUUCAACAACGGAUCUCUUGGUUCUG